GAGGGUAUAGCUUAGUGGUAGAGUGUGUGCUUAGCAUUAACGAAGUCCUGGGUAAAAUCCCCAGUACCUCCA
rnacentral:tRNA from 1 species